rnacentral:lncRNA from 1 species
AAAAGAAAAGAGGAAAAAAAAAGAAAAAGAAAAAGAAAAAAACGGAACAGAACAGAGAGGACAAAACAAAAUCAUAAACCACUGAGGUGGGGGAGUUAAGUAGCAGCGUCUUGAUUCUUUUAAUUUGUCAACUUGGAACAUGCAGUUUGUUUAAAAAAAAUAUGUAAGCACCCUAUUCUAUGUCCUUGCUUCCCUUUCUUCUGAAAUUUUUAUUCACUUUGUUAUUUUGGGAGUGUUCUACAAUCCAGUAAAAUAUGUUUAUUAGAAAAUGUAGUAUGCCAACAAAUGAGCUUCUUUUUCUAAAUAGAGAUUGUUUCUUUAGAGAAAUGAGCAUAAACCAGAAGUUACAAACUGGAGACCUGUUGGCUGGGUUUGGAUGGCAGAUGUGUUUUAUUUGGUCUAAGUUAAAGAUGUUGACCUCACAGAGUUUAUCUUUUAAACUGUUUUUGGUUUCAUAGAAAUAAAUUUUAAGUUGUGAGAUCUUGCAUAAGCAUCUAAAUUCCUGGAUUAAAAGAAAAAAAAAUCAGAGAGCCUGUCAACAGCAUAACCACAUUGUCUUUAACAUCUUCAGCUUCAUUGACAUAUGGUAGAACCAACAUGGUUGAAUCGGUACCAAAUACUGACUGGCUUGCUUUAAGAACUCUAAUUUACUCUAGCUGUCCAGCUUUAGAAUGAUGGGCACCACUCCGUACAUGUUAUGCUAACACACUCAUAACAAUCAUGAGUUUGUUUUGCCAUAGAUUUGUAAGUAGAUGGGUACCUCCCCAUUGUGGCCUCGUGGAUGAGGGAGGAAGCAUUUUGGGAAAUUUCUGAGGAGUAUUUCUCCAUUCAUCUUUUCUUCUGGUUGUUGACAUCUGGUAUUGCUGCAGCUGUGCUGUGAUCUGGAGACAAGAAUGAUGUGAACAAGAUAGAGCAGGGAGAUAAACAAACUCCAAGUGCACUUUCUAAGAUGUUAUGAACUGGUAGAUGAACAAUUGUUGAACUAGGUCCACGUUUUGCUGGGACUUCUUGUACAAUCAAUAAAUUUUCCUUGUUGUCC